UUAGAAGCAGUGCCUGCCUGUCCUUUUCUAUUCUCUGCACUGAUGGCUCUGGCAUUUGAAACAAUGUAGCACAAGGCAGCAGUCUGACUUGACUUUCUGGAGGAGACUGACAGUUGCAACAUUGUAUAAAGUAACAACCAGGAGUUCAGCAAAUGCUGUUUUCAAUAGCAAUUAUAUGUACAAAUGACUUUUAAAGCUCUAAACAUUUUCAGUAAAUUCUCAUUGGAAAGUUGCUCGGAAUUAUGUUUCUUUUAUUAGGUGGAAACAUUUUUUUUGGUUGAUAUGUCCUCUAAGCUUUUGAGCACUGGAAAUGUAGAAUUUAAAAAUAAUAAAGUAUUUAAAUAUUAUUCCUGUCCUUUUUCAACAAUAGAAUCAAUGGAUAUGGGCACCAAGUUCCUCACAAAAAAAAAAAAAGGAAGCCUCAGUCUACCAUGAAAUGUAACUGGCAAGGUCAGAUUCUAAAAUUAAGGUUUGGCAUCACUUUCCUAAUUACAUUGAAGGAACAGUAACACCAUAAAAUGAAAGUGAUUAAAAUAUAAUGUUGCCCUUCACUGGUAAAACUUGUGUGCUUGCUACAGAAACACUACUAUAGUAGUAUAAAUAAUCUCCAGUGUAACCACAAGGGCAGAAAUUCAUGCUAAAAAAAGGAGUUAGGGUACAGGUUACACAGCAAAUAAGCUCUAUAAAAUACAAUAGUUUUUGACCUGUGCCAUUUGUCCUUUUUUCUAGCUUUUCGUGGGUGACUAAUCUCCCCUCAAUGCCAUCCCACCGGCUAGAAUGUAGGAUAAUGGAAAGAGCACUUCUGGAGUCAGCCAGGCUGUCAACGCAAAGGCAGAUUACAGGGGGGCGGUAUUACAUCGACCUGUGGGGAAAAGUAGUCUUUUAUUUAUAUUGGUAUUUUUAGAAAUGCCACUGCCUUCUUGUUUCUUAGUCACGCUGCCGUAGAUCCUAUGUGACUGGAUGCUGGAAGGAGAGCCCUUUGGCUACAGCUGUAUUCAGAGGUUGAUACUGUACCUAAAAAACCUUCCCUUCUGAAGUCCAGUGUAUGCAGUUGUCCCAUUGUAACUGGGGAAAAUGUCCAAGCCUUCCUAAGGAAAUGUAAUGAUUAAAACAAAUGUCACAACUGUUUCAUUUGGAACACAGAUCUAGUGGCUUCAGAAAGAAUGAUCAAGCACGGGCGAUUCCAAUUAAUGCAGGAAGGUGGCCUUCUUCAAAUCACAGUAAACAUCACAGAACAAUCUCCUCUCUUGCGACUUAAGCUCAUCUGGAUACAGAUGUAUGAAUCAGGACACUGCAGCAAAUACAUUGCUAGAAAUGCUACCUCAUACCCAGAAAAAUAUUUUGAGUAUGGACUAUCAAGCACAAUGUCCCACCUUCAGAGAGAGAGAGAAAUUUGAAGGGAAAUAUUUUUUUGCUCAAGAAUGUCUUCACAACUUAGGGAAACACUGAACCAGGAAUCUCAAUUUUACUUGAACCUUCCUCGGCACUAUUUUUAUGAACCAACAUAUUUUCAAGGAUAAUGAACAAGUAAAGAAAAUAUUUUGCAAUUUUUCUGCAAUUUUUUUUUUGCUCUCGCUCACAUUGCUAUCAUCUAUCUCAGCCAUCCCUGCAGAAAGUGCCAGACCAGUCAGAAGCCAUCUUGAUCAUUCAAUCACUCUGUCCAUAGAAGCUGUCAACAUCCUUGGUAUCAUCAACUAAAUAGACUCUCCAGUUAAAUAGCCAUUUUUUUUGUAAUGUGUCUUGUGCAUAUGUUCUCAGCAAUUUUCAUUCUGCCCUAAUAAUUCAGAUGGUCAGGCAAUAGGGAGUAUUGCUCUUGAUCUUUUCAACUAUUCCAGGAUAUGUUAGGUUUUGGUCCAUUUUGCAUCUAAGCUACAUAUUAUAGUUUUUUUUUGUUGUGUCAACUUUUAACGUUAAUGUUUAAUUUUAACUAUUCUAAAAGUAACUACUAUUUUGCAGCCCAGGAAACAGCAAUGUUACACCACAUAUUAAAGUCUGGAAAGCAUUUUUAGUGCAAUUGUCUGUGGUCAAUUGUGCAUAUUAUAAGUUUCUGCAAUAAAGUCUAGAUCUGACUCCUUGGAAUGAAUACACAAAUUGUCGUUAGUAGUUAUUUUGCUUUGGAUAGCCAUCAGACCCUAAAAUAAUACAUUUAGUUUGAUACAUCUGAAGAACUAGAGGAAUCAUGGGAUCAAGUCUUGUAGGCCUUACAAAACUUUUAUAUUAGAAACAAAUGUAAACAAAUAAAGCAUUUGUAUAUUAUAAUUUUUUUUUAUUAUAUACUGAUUAUACUUCUGAAUAGGGCACUUUUUAUGUAAGCCAUCUUUUUUUACUUCUAAAAAAAGACUGAAGUUUUUUAGCCAUACACAAUUUACAGUUCAUUUAAAAUGUUAAUUGGUCAUUAUCUGGUUUAAAUUGCUUUUUUGAAUGAAUAGAUUUGCAGUAAAUAAACAUGAACAACUAUUUUGUGAAUACUUUCUGUGCUGCAUUAGUGUUAAUUCAAAUAUCACUGUCAUUAAUAAAAGACAUUCUUUGGUAGAAGCAUGGGAACACAAAUUUUAUUUUAAGCGUAAACCACAACUACUGUAGUUCAUCUGUUACUCUGGUAACUUCAAAAUAUUAUUCAUACCAUACAAGGAUUUUUUUUGUGUAACUAUGUAUGAAUUAAGGCCAUAACCUUAACUAAUUCUGCUUUGUUUUUUUUUAUAUUCACUAGGGUAUGGAUAAAUGUAAAGCUCCAGUUCAUUUAACACAUUUUAUGUUUUUAAUUUUUUCAGCGGGUUACAGUGCCACAGUUUGCUUGGUGUCUAAAUUCAGGUAACAGUGAGAGGAAUUCAGCAAUAAAUUUUGAAAAAGAUCUUGUUCUUCUUUCUUGCACAUCUUACAAUUUAAUGGAUAAGUGGUAUCUGUUAGACAAAAUGUUCAAAAUAGGAGCUGGGGGGUUUUAUGGAGCAGCAGAAUUAGAAAUGAAGACACAGCCUGAAGAAGAAACAUAAGAACAGGAAGAUAUUUACCAAAGAUUGUGCAAAUAAAUUGCCAAGAUGAGAAUUGUGCCACUGCAUAGAAGAACAAAAAAAGCAUAGGAAUGCUAAUCCAAAAGUAAAGAUAUAUUAAAACUGGCAGAGUUUUGUCAUUUGUCAUAUUUUUGUUCUGGAAUACUGUAUUUUUAGUCUUGCUACCCUAGCAGCCGCCAACAAUUAAAACUCAUUGUGUCAUACA